rnacentral:rRNA from 1 species
UGGGGAAUAUUGGGCAAUGGGCGAAAGCCUGACCCAGCGACGCCGCGUUGGGGAAGAAGGCCCUCGGGUUGUAAACCCAUGUCAGGAGGAACGAUGGGUUUGUGGGCUAAUACCUCACUAACUUGACGGUACCUCCAGCAGAAGGACCGGCCAACUACGUGCCAGCAGCCGCGGUAAUACGUAGGGUCCAAGCGUUAUCCGGAAUCAUUGGGCGUAAAGAGCUCGUAGGCGGUUCAACAAGUCGGCUGGGAAAGUCCGAGGCUCAACCUCGGAAUUGCAGUCGAAACUGUUGUGACUCGAGUCCGGUAGAGGAGAAUGGAAUUCCCGGUGUAGCGGUGAAAUGCGCAGAUAUCGGGAGGAACACCAGUAGCGAAGGCGGUUCUCUGGGCCGGCACUGACGCUGAGGAGCGAAAGCGUGGGGAGCAA